CGAGCUUCCUUCUUCUGCCUUCUUCUUCUCGGCUAGUUCCAGGCUAGUUCCAGCUCGGUAAGCCGAGCUUACCGAACUCCUUUCUAGCCGAGCUUCUUCCAACUGAAAUGAGCACUCCAUUAUUACACAUGCCAUAUCCAUAAGUCGUAUGAUGCCACAGCUUCCAAAAUGAUCGUUGGUUUACCACUUCUCCCUGUAUAUUGUCUAGCCCAUGUGUUAGGACAAUUCUUCCAUUCCCAAUGCAUGCAGUCUAUACUCCCAAUCAUGCCUAGAAAACCACGUUCAUUUGCUACAUAUAGAAGGCUAGCCAGAUCUUGUUCAGUAGGUCUUCUAAGAUAUGUGGCACCAAAACAUGAAAUAACACCUUCAACGAAAUGUAUUAGAGAAUCUCUCGUCACCAUUGAACUCAUCUGCAAAUAUUCAUCAACGACAUCGGAUGAUGUCCCAUACGCUAACACCCGCAUAGCUCCGGUACAUUUCUGUAACGAUGACAAACUUUGUCUCCCUGUAGCAUCGCAUCUCUCUUGAAAAUACUCAUCAUUAGCAGUAACAGCUUCUACAAUCCGAAGGAAUACGGAUUUGUGCAUGCGAAAUCGGCGUCAGAACACCUCUGGCCCAUAUGUCGGGUUGGGACUAAAGUAGUCGUUGAUCAAACGCUCAGCAUCAAUCUCGCGUUGCCUUUCACAAUAUCUUUUUGUAACAGUAGAAGCUUGAGCCCCUACAAUUAGAUUGUGAUUGGUGGAUAACAUGCUCUCAACAAUUGUAUAGAUUUGAUAAUUUUGCUGAGAAACUCGUUCCUCCCAUUGAUUGAGUGCUAUGAUAUUUGAAUCAUCAGAACUUGAAUUUGAUGAAAGUGAUGAGUUUUCACUAGAAGACAUUUUUUGGAGGUGGAAUGAGUUUUCACUAAAAUUUCCACGAGCUAUGUAUAAACUAAAUAUAUUUGCAUGUGACACUAGACCCCAAGACAUGUGAGACACAAUUGCAGUAAAGCAUGUGACAUAUCUAAUUUUUCCAUGAUAAUGCAUGCGAUGACAAAACAUUUGAUUGACAUUGUGAUGCAUGUGAUUUUUCAAAACUUUUGUAAGAUAAAGAACUGAUGGUGAGUCACAAUUGCAGUGAAACAUGUGACAUAUCUAAUUUUUGCAGGAUAAUGCAUGCGAUGACAAAACAUUUGAUUGACAUCGUGGUGCAUGUGAUUUUUCAAAACUUUUGUAAGAUAAAGAACUGAUGGUUUAGGGGAUGCCAAGGUUUGGAGUCUUGUGGAGGUGCAAAAACCGAGAGGGAUGAGAGAAGGAAAGGAAGAUAGGAUUUAACUAGUAUCUCACAAAUGUUGUACCACAUGAUGUAAUCCAUAUAUGUGUAGUCCCUUUCAAAUUACUCAUAUACUACUUGCAAUUCCAUCAUUCUUGUAAAAAUACUCCUCAAGUAUUUUUCUAAUAAAGUAUAUCUUUUACCUU